rnacentral:sRNA from 1 species
UCAGAAAUUAGGUGAAACAAUAAUUAUCAAAACACAAGCAAAAUAAUAUUAACGAGUAUUUUGAGUUUUGCACAACAUGUCUGCAAUAUUGUCUCUUAUUUGUUUCAUAAGUUCUCCAUCUGCUACAUCAUUUGCUUCUUUGUCAUCUAACUCAGGCUCCCAAUCUGUAUUGUUUAUGAAAUUGUGUAAUCUCAUUGUAGUCAUUACCACUCUCUUUUGUAUUUGAAUAUUAUAUCUUGCGAAAUCUCAAAGAAUUCUCCAUUUCUUCAACAAACUCCAAAAGUUCUCUUAAUACUAAACGUAAUGAUGCAUGACAUCGAUUAAACAGUUGUUUCUUAUUUCUUGUAGGUAGUCCGGAAUAGAACUGCGACAUAUGAUACCUAACACUUCUACAUCUUGAUGAGCUGUAAAGAGCCAAAACAUUUUGUCUGUUUGGAUAGCAAGAAUCAACGACGUAGUACUUUUCUAGCGGAAGCAAGGGAAUAUCAGAAUCACUUCAUUGUGUCAUUGUAAGAACAGUUGUGUCGUGAUAUGAUCCCAUUGCUUCAUUCAAAAUAUAUGUGAAUAACAUAUUCAAAGAUGCAUUAUCGUGUCGAUUCAAAUACAUUUCUUGUAAUUCAGGCUUCACUUUUACACAAACAUGAGUCCCAUCCAUAGCUCCAACAAAUCCACUAAAAUAUGGCCAAUAUCUUUGAUCUACUUGAAGUCUUUCAGGAAUUCGAUGUAGAUCUUGAGUUAUUGGAGUUCUAAUAUAAUCACAUGCUAGUAAUUCAAUUGCCGUAAGAAAUUCCCCAAAUUUUCUCUUCCAUGGUCUCCUGAUUUCGUCCAAAAUGCAAACCAACAUCUCUUUAUGAACUUCGUUAUGCCCACAUAUUCGUAAAAACAUAGCCACACUUUUCUCUUUGAACUUUGUUGUAGACCGUAAUUUGUUUGUAGUAGACCGCACAAUGUUGUGAAUGCUACGAGUGACAUUCGUAAUAACUGAAGACAAUUCAUAAUAACCGAAAACAAGCAGCAGCAUCUUAUUGUAGUCGAUGGCAAAUAUUUCUCCAUUCUAAUCCUCCAUCGGUUUGCGCUGGUACUCUUUGGAAAUAUCGAUCAUAGUAACUUAAAGUUGGUUGGAUUAUUAACUCCUCAAAUUACUCAUCAAGUUUUUUUUUUUAAACAAAUAAUUUUU